rnacentral:lncRNA from 1 species
CUUUAUGAUCAUCUAGCACUGAAGACCUAUUUGGUCAUCCAGCAUUGAAGACUCCUGAUCCACGUUGGGCUUUUGGAGAAGACUUCUAAGAGGCAAUGUUAGAGUUGAACCUUGAAGAACUUGAAGUUAUCCCGAGGAUACUGAAGACCAGCUCAUCAAGUUGGCAACAGGAAAGAUCAACAGUAAAAACCAGUACUAAUCUCCAUAGCAGAGGAGUGGUGACUAACAGCAUAAAUCUGUAACUUAGCAAACUCA